GACGAACGCUGGCGGCGUGCUUAACACAUGCAAGUCGAACGGAAAGGCCCAGCUUGCUGGGUACUCGAGUGGCGAACGGGUGAGUAACACGUGGGUGAUCUGCCCCAAACUUCGGGAUAAGCCUGGGAAACUGGGUCUAAUACCGGAUAUGACCUGCUCCUGCAUGGGGGUUGGUGGAAAGCUUUUGCGGUUUGGGAUGGGCCCGCGGCCUAUCAGCUUGUUGGUGGGGUAAUGGCCUACCAAGGCGACGACGGGUAGCCGACCUGAGAGGGUGAUCGGCCACACUGGGACUGAGACACGGCCCAGACUCCUACGGGAGGCAGCAGUGGGGAAUAUUGCACAAUGGGCGCAAGCCUGAUGCAGCGACGCCGCGUGAGGGAUGACGGCCUCGGUGUUAACGUAC
rnacentral:rRNA from 1 species